AUCCAUGCAAGACCGUCGGGAGGCAGCAGUUGUGCAGUGGGCUCUGCAACAGGAUCAGUGGAUCCAGCAUUUGUGAAGUUUGGAGGAUCGGUUGGUAAUGUGCGGUUCAGCCAGCCUACGCCAACCCAAUACCGUUGGUGUUCAAUUAAAUAUAAGCAUUUUUCAGUGGGAUCAGAAGACUCUUUGUCAGUUAAUGUAUUGUUGGUAUGAUUACUAUGAACCACAUAAGGACUACUUCCAAUAACCUUUAGUAAAUGGGUGGCAGGACUCUCCUUCUUUUCGGGUGAAGAAACAGAUGGCUGUUUAUUUUCUGCAGAAGGCGCAGGGGGUUCGUUGGAAGAGGGUUGGGGAACUGGUUUUGCAGGUUCCUUCGUCUUUCCGAUUACAAAUUUUUCAUACAAAAGAUUAAAAAAUGAAAUUCUCCGAAUGCAAAAUAAAACAGCCUGUAG